UAUAAAGAAUGUGCUUUUUUUAGCAGCUUAGAAUUUAAGACAAAUGCAUCCCCAAAUCUGUUUCCUGGUUUCCUUUCACUCUCAAGGGUAGACCUUCCUUCUAGUGCAGACAAUCAGAAAAUAAUAUGAACCUUCACAGGAACUUGGAAAUAUCUGAUGAUGCUCUCAUAUGAUGGCUCAGAUGCUUACUCUCAGUCUAAACAAAAUAUCUUCUGGGAAAAAAAAAAAGACCACUGCUCUGCUAGGUCAUGGAUGACAGUAUGUGUUUCAACAUCUUUUGAAAGAAAGAAGGGGAGGAGCUCUGAAGGUACCUUGCUGCAUUUGCAAUCAUAUAUGCAGCUCAUGACCUUGGCCAAGUGAAAAUUUAAAUGUCAGUGAAACAAAAAAUCUAUGUUUCAACACUGAUGAUGAGAAGCUCCUUUCUCUAGCUGAAAUAGAAUGGACUGGUUGACUGGAUUCCACUCAUUCUGUAAUAUUACAUCUGAAUCUCUUCUGGAUCAUGAAGUGAAGGUGUUUUUUUGCAAGAGGAUAUCCUGGACACCAUCCCCACUGCUGACAAAGUUUAAUCCAGAAGUAGGUCAAAUCCAGAUGACGAACUAUUGCUGUCAGAGCACCUGCUUGAAGAUCCAGGACUGCAGGAGUACAUUUCUAAAGGGAUGUGGGGGACAAUAGUUUCCAGAAUGCAUGUUCUCAGAUUCCCAAUGCCAUGCAGCUGGAGUAGGAAAAUUGUGCACUCCAUUUCCAUUCCAUCAUGUGUUGUGCUUCAGCUGUAUUUCUGUGCAAAGCUGUGAAGAGUGCGUGGUGAGAGACAGGAGAUGUUUUAACUGAGAUUUUGAGAGCUUUUAUUCUUGCCGAAUUUGAACUAAGUGGAAGCUAAUAGACCAACCAAGCCUAAAGAUCCCGUUGCUAAAUAAAACAUACAAAGCUUGAAGUUAAUAGCUAUUUUUAUAGAACAUGUUGCUACUAAAAGAAAUAGUGGAUUCUUUUAACUAAUUCUCUAACCUUUAUUUUAGGAAUUGAAGAAGAUUCUUCCUUUUAAAACAAUGUUUAGCCUUCAACAAAUUUCCUUCAUGCCACUGGGACCUGAUAGGUGCUUAGCAUGCAGAAUGAGCAGGUGAUUUAUUCAGGCGCUUGAAACUAUAAUCCUGUAAAGAUUUAUUGCUUCAAAAUCAACUUUAAGACUUCAUUGUGCAUUCUGAAGCCUAGUUUCUAAGUUUUUGCUUUCAGUGUGUUGGUGUUUUGGUUAAUCAAUUGGUUUAACUUACCUUUACUGCCAGUUUGCGACAUUUAAUGCAUAUAAGAUAGUCCCUAAUAAAUAACUGCAAUUUUAUUAGCUGAAUAGUUAGAAGGACAUGACUGAUAAGUAAGAUGUCACAUAAAUCAGUACCAAAAAUGACCAGCUCUGGAGGCCAAAGAUAGCAAACCCUUAAAUCUCUGCAUCUUCUAUAGAUUUAUUUAUAAAUCAAUGCACAAAUCACAGCUGGGAAGUUAGAUUCAAGAGUAAUUAACUUUAGAUCAAACUGUCUUGAUACGCUGUAAAACAGCCAGAACUUUGUGAACAUAAUUAACUUGCAUAUUGUUUUGUAUUUUACCACAGCAUGAACUAGUUUGAAAAAAGGUUUCUUCGUGCAAGAAGUUGUCACUUAUGUUAGAGUGGUGAAGUAACACAACAAUUGAGGGUAACUGCACAAUGAACAUAGAAAUGUGACCAUAUCUCUAAAUAGUUAUACAGCAAUAUUAUUUAUUUUUGUACUAGACAUUUUUCCUUCAUUUUCAUAUGUGUUUUUCUGAAUGUCACUAACAAAGCAGAAAUUCUUAGUACAGAGGUGGUCUUUACUGCGGCUGUUCUUUUCCUUGCUGUUGAUCUCUUUUCUUCGCAAACUCCACUUUAAAAA